rnacentral:rRNA from 1 species
CACGGAGGGUGCAAGCGUUAUCCGGAUUCACUGGGUUUAAAGGGUGCGUAGGUGGGUCUGUAAGUCAGUGGUGAAAUCUCCGUGCUUAACAUGGAAACUGCCAUUGAUACUAUAGGUCUUGAAUUUUCUGGAGGUCAGCGGAAUAUGUCAUGUAGCGGUGAAAUGCUUAGAUAUGACAUAGAACACCAAUUGCGAAGGCAGCUGGCUACAGGGAUAUUGACACUGAGGCACGAAAGCGUGGGGGUCAAACAGG